AAGGUAUAAAAUUUCUCGAGAACGCGCAGAGGAAAGAUCCCCCUUGUGCAAGUUCCGUACACCACAUGCGUGUGUGUGCUUGCAGCAAACACAGGAGGUGCACACUAUGCGCACAUCCCAUCAUUGAGGGGCGCAUAGUGCAAUUUGUGUGCGCAUCCGCUGACAGGCGUGGCUCUAUGCGCCUUAUGCGCACGCCGUCCGUGCAGUAAGCCUGUGCGGUAGAGCCUAUACGCAGUAGACCUACACACAAGACAGGCCCCCAUUUUCUAUAAAUAGAGACAUUUCUUUCACCAUUUCCUCAUUCCUUCCAUUUCCAUUCUUCCAUCCUCCAAGAUCUUUAGAGAGAGAGGGACUGAUCUAGAGAGAGAGGGAGAAAAGAAGAAGAAGAAGACAAGGCCUAGGAAACAUCGAGGUUUCGGUAAAGAAUUUAGUAUUUAGUUUUAAACAUCCUAAUGAGCAUUUCUAGUGUAAAAAUUAGUGAAGUUUUAUGUCUAAACGAAGUAAUUUUACGUGUUAAUGUGUGUUGUAUGAUUGUUUAUGAACUUGUUAAUUUGCAUGUGCAAUUAAAUGCUUGAAAAUAAAUAUUGAUAUGUGAUGCAAUUGAUGAUGGAAAAAUGAUUAAGCAUGAAAUGAUGUAUAGACAUGAGAAAUAUGUAUUAGUAUUGGCAUGAAUAAUUCAUAAAGUGUUUCGUUAGGCUUUUUAUCUCUUAGAGGUUUCUAUUUCUUCCCCGUCUAGUCUAAAAAGACGUGAGAGGACCGCUUCCUAUGGAUGACGACGUACUGACAAGAGUGGUGAUGUGAUAUGAUUGUAGGGGUCACCUUUGGCGAAGUAUAACCAUGGCCAUAGUUAACAUAUUGGACCACUGUAGUUAGCAUGUCUGUGGGUCAUAGAUCGUGCCAUGGUUUAGCGAACCGUAAAUGUGUUGUUGGUUUGGCAACCUGUAAAUUGGUGCUAUAAAUGAAAUCAAUAUGUCAUUCCACAUGAGUAGUUAGAAAUCUAUAU
rnacentral:lncRNA from 1 species